GCCCAGCUGGCCUCCGUCGGUAGAGCACGAGACUCUUAAUCUCGGGGUCGUGGGUUUACCGAGAAACCCACUUUGGGCA